UCCCAUCCCGCCUGUCUCUCUAACCAGAAA
rnacentral:piRNA from 1 species